GUAAGGGGAAGAAGAAAUCCGAUUCUCAUAGCUUCGUCUCCAGACCAGAUGAAGCUACCGGUUUUUUUCCGAAGCUCUUUUGCUCAAAGAGAAGAAAGUUCAUGAAGAUGGAACAAUUCUCCCUAAAUUCGCAGAUGAUGAUGAAAGAGAACUUUUUAAACAACUGAAUCUUUAGCUGGAAAGUGAUCCUGGACUGAAGAGGAUGAGACACUGUCAAAUUGUAUACUUGAUUCAUGAAGAUCACGAUGAAGAGGUGGAGAAUGUAAACUCCAAAGUCAGAGGCAUCAUUCGAUGAAAACUCGUUGUUCAUGAUAGCCAUGUUAAGAGAAUACGGAUUAGAAUAGUCAUUUUUCUACUGGAUGAGUUUGACUUGUUUACACAAGUAUAAUA